rnacentral:rRNA from 1 species
UACGAAGGGGCUAGCGUUGUUCGGAAUCACUGGCGUAAAGCGCACGUAGGCGGAUCUUUAAGUCAGGGGUGAAAUCCCGAGGCUCAACCUCGGAACUGCCUUUGAUACUGGGAUCUCGAGUCCGGGAGAGGUGAGUGGAACUGCGAGUGUAGAGGUGAAAUUCGUAGAUAUUCGCAAGAACACCAGUGGCGAAGGCGGCUCACUGGCCCGGAACUGACGCUGAGGUGCGAAAGCGUGGGAG